UACAGAGGUGCCAAGCGUUAUGCGGAAUCACUGGGCUUAAAGCGCGCGUAGGCGGAUGGUUAAGUGUCUUGUGAAAUCCCACGGCUCAACCGUGGAACCGCUGGGCAUACUGGACAUCUCGAGGCACUCAGGGGCGAGCGGAACAAGUGGUGGAGCGGUGAAAUGCGUAGAUAUCACUUGGAACGCCAAUGGUGAAGACAGCUCGCUGGGGGUGUCCUGACGCUGAGGCGCGAAAGCCAGGGGAGCGAACGGG
rnacentral:rRNA from 1 species